rnacentral:rRNA from 1 species
CCUACGGGCGGCAGCAGUGGGGAAUAUUGCACAAUGGGGGAAACCCUGAUGCAGCGACGCCGCGUGAGUGAAGAAGUAUUUCGGUAUGUAAAGCUCUAUCAGCAGGAACGAGACAAGACGGUACCUGACUAAGAAGCCCCGGCUAACUACGUGCCAGCAGCCGCGGUAAUACGUAGGGGGCAAGCGUUAUCCGGAAUCACUGGGUGAAAGGGAGCGUAGACGGCUGUGCAAGCCUGAAGUGAAAGGCGGGGGCCCAACCCCUGGACUGCUUUGGGAACUGUACGGAUGGAGUGCAGGAGAGGUGAGUGGAAUUCCUAGUGUAGCGGUGAAAUGCGUAGAUAUUAGGAGGAACACCAGUGGCGAAAGCGGCUUACUGGACUGUAACUGACGUUGAGGCUCGAAAGCGUGGGGAGCAAACAGGAUUAGAUACCCUAGUAGUC